UCAAGAGUCUUUCUCUCCUUAUCCCCCGAGCAUUUCGGUCCCUCGUGAUUCGACUUCUCUUUCUGUAGCUUAGUAUAGUAAGGUGAGCGCUGAAGCGCUGCACGAAUCUUUCUUAGAAAGAUUCAGCGAUGAAGUUCUGCCCCUGCAGAGCCCGACUCCUAGCUAAAACCCCCUUGUUUCGUCGAAGAAAAUUCUAUUUAAGAAGCGAAGCGCUGUCUGAGUUCGGAAUCACCACCUUUUCAAGUAGUGGCGCAUGAGCAUAGGUGUGAUGUUUUGGACGAGGGAUUACAGAUAUAGGCCUGUAGAUAUGAAAUAAUGUAGUAAGGCUUAUAUUGUAUUGUUUAUGCUUUUGAUCUGUACGAACAUGACAUCCCAAGUCUUUUAAUGAAAUACAUUUCUAUGGAAAUGCUUUUGAUAAAUCUUUAUCAUAUUUUUGUUUUGGGACAAAUUCCGCAACACUUUCAUUUAAAAUGUAACUCUGAUUUUUAAACAAAGCAUAAACAAACCGGUCUUUUCUGGCCGUGAUUUUGGGGAUGUCACAGUAAAACAAUCCAAACGAUAGCUAAAGAUCUCAUCAAUACCUAUCCGUCGAUAUAUAUACAGUCGAGAACGGAUAUUGUAUGAGAGUGUUAUGAUUUUUAUACGGACUUUAACAGUCCAAACCUAUAAAAAUAUAACUUUGUGCUUACAGUUGUGGAUUAUAUGUUUUUUAGGUACUUCAUCAAAUCGUGAAAAUGCAAAAAUGUGACUAUACACACAUUAGCAAUUUUAUGAUUUGAGAUUCUGCGAUAUUUUUCUUAUAAUUCUACUUUUGGUGUAUGGUUAUUAAAGACAAGGUGUUUAUCACUUAUUGAAAAUGAGCAUUUACCAUAAUUUAAAAAUGAAAAAAUUAUUCUGAAAUGGGACAUUAAAUGGUAAUAUGUUUGUAGAUAUUUGUAUUAUUUUUUAUAAAACUUUUAUAAUGUUUGUUUUUUAUUAGAUUUUUCAGAGUUUCAUCUUCAAUUAUCAUAUUUCUCAUCUUAGACUUGAUAAGGUAUUAUUGAAUUAGAAUUGUUGGUUAACAAAUUUUGAUUUGAUUUGAUUUUACAGAUUUAUGACUUUUUACCAAGGUUGUAAAAAUCGUUCGAAGUUAGCUAGUCGGUGGUCUAAGGUUAAGGGAUUAAUCGGCUAGGCGGAGAUUAAUUGGAGGAUUAAUCAGGGACCAUUAAGUGCUAAUUUGUUAGAUUUUACAAAAUUAAAUAG